UACGAAGGGGGCUAGCGUUGUUCGGAAUUACUGGGCGUAAAGCGUAUGCAGGCGGACUUUUAAGUCGGGGGUGAAAUCCCAAGGCUCAACCUCGGAACUGCCUUCGAUACUGGAAGUCUUGAGUCCGGGAGAGGUGAGCGGAACUCCGAGUGUAGAGGUGAAAUUCGUAGAUAUUCGGAAGAACACCAGUGGCGAAGGCGGCUCACUGGCCCGGUACUGACGCUGAGAUACGAAAGCGUGGGGAGCAAACAGG
rnacentral:rRNA from 1 species